rnacentral:pre_miRNA from 1 species
AGAAAGGCAAACCCCGAGUUUUCGUGCCAAUGUUUAACUGUCCGUCUUAUAUGAAAUUUUUUUAUAAUUAGUAUUUUUGUUGUUGUUAGAUGAUAAAACAUGAUUAAUACUUUAUACGUGACUUAUUUUUCUAAUUUUUUUCAUAUUUUUUUAAAUAAGACGGANNN